ACUGGGUUGGCCGAGUGGUUAAGGCGUUGGACUUAAAUUCCAAUGGACAAGUGUCCGCGUGGUUUCGAACCCCACACCCAGUA
rnacentral:tRNA from 1 species